UCUAAAGGUGCUUUCUGAGAUGGAGUGAAAUGGAUGAAACAAAAGUGACUUAAAGAUGUUUCAACCCAUAGGGCUGAUCGCCAUCAGGAAAAAGCAAACCCUUGGCCACAGUGAACCCUUGGCCACAACCAACCAACAGAAAGUGUCACGGGUACUUCAGCUUUCUGAGAAGUAAGUGUACUCUUUAUCAGAAAUCCUUAUCACUGUUGUCCCCUCCCACUCUUCCACAUCAGUUUUGAAAUCAGCAAGCCGAUCGCCGAUUAGAGACUUUCCAUGACGUGGCAAAGGACACCAUAUAGGGAUUCAAUAGACAGCUGAUAUGCUUCAGCUCUUGCUCUGAUCAACUUUGCAUUCUAUUGAGAAAUUUUGGCUUUUAUUGAAAAAACAAAAACAAAAAGCAAUCUGGUCUACAAUGUGACUGCCACUUUAACAGCAAAUCUAUUAUAAUAAAUAAGUUUUUUAUUAAUUAAAGAUAAUCAUGGUAUUAAAGUGCUUUGAGCAAAGAUAUGAACACAAACUUGGUUUAAAAAUGACAGAAGAAAGGACUUGGGAUUACCGGGAAAUGUAGUGCAGAAGAAGUGGACUAACUCCUUAUCUGUUGGCAAAGCAAUGCCCUGGUUUCAUAAGAGGCUCUGCUUAAUAUAUGAUACCCCACAGGUUAAGGAGAAUGCCACUUAUUUCACAGUUUAGUCUUUGGGUAUGGACAAAGGAAUAAAAAAAAAA